AAAGGAAAAAGGAGAGGAGAAAGGGGAGAAGUGAAAGGGAGGGUUUGUGCGCGUGGGUCCUCGCCGAGCCAUUCCGACUACGUAACGCAACGACUAGAUUUUGGAACCGUCGGCUCGAGUAACACAUAUGGGUUAGUUUUUGGAUUACCAGGUUCUUUUGCUGGCCGCAAGUAGGGCGUGAGCGGGCGUUAGUCGGAGGAUUUCUUUUUUAUUGUGGGAUUUUGGGU